UGAGGAAUAUUGGUCAAUGGACGAGAGUCUGAACCAGCCAAGUAGCGUGAAGGAUGACUGCCCUAUGGGUUGUAAACUUCUUUUAUAUGGGAAUAAAGUUCAGUAUGUAUACUGUUUUGUAUGUACCAUAUGAAUAAGGACCGGCUAACUCCGUGCCAGCAGCCGCGGUAAUACGGAGGAUCCGAGCGUUAUCCGGAUUUAUUGGGUUUAAAGGGAGCGUAGGCGGGGCUGAGUCAGUUGUGAAAGUUUGCGGCUCAACCGUAAAAUUGCAGUUGAUACUGGGUCCCUUGAGUGCGGCAGAGGCAGGCGGAAUUCGUGGUGUAGCGGUGAAAUGCUUAGAUAUCACGAAGAACUCCGAUUGCGAAGGCAGCCUGCUGGACUGUAACUGACGCUGAUGCUCGAAAGUGUGGGGUAUCAAACAGGAUUAGAUACC
rnacentral:rRNA from 1 species